UACGUAGGGUGCAAGCGUUAAUCGGAAUUACUGGGCGUGAAGCGUGCGCAGGCGGCUUUGCAAGACAGAUGUGAAAUCCCCGGGCUUAACCUGGGAACUGCAUUUGUGACUGCAUGGCUAGAGUGCGGCAGAGGGGGAUGGAAUUCCGCGUGUAGCAGUGAAAUGCGUAGAUAUGCGGAGGAACACCGAUGGCGAAGGCAAUCCCCUGGGCCUGCACUGACGCUCAUGCACGAAAGCGUGGGGAGCAAACAGG
rnacentral:rRNA from 1 species